rnacentral:ncRNA from 1 species
GCACAGGGGAGCUUUUGCUGAGACGGCUUUUUUAGCCGGACCCUUUGACCUGAUCCGGACAAUACCGGCGUAGGGAGUGUUA